rnacentral:lncRNA from 1 species
GUCCCCGCCCCUCACCCUGGGUACAUAUUAAACCCCAUCCCUUGGAAUAAUGAGAAGCCACGCCCCUAGGCCGCCACUGGCCACAGUCCCGCUUGGCGGGCGGAGCCAAUCAGAUCCCACUGGUAUCCUGGUCACACCCAGACUAAUCCGUCCGCUUUUUCUCUCCUUACUCUCAACUCCUUCCAGUUUAACAAUAAUCCACAUCCUUUGGACCAACUCCCAGCCCCUUCCAAAACUAGCAUUUCCCAUUCCCCGGUGGACAGUCACCCUUCACCCUCCAUCUUCCAGGGAUACCCAAACCCUCGGCUCUCAAGGCCCCGCCCCUUACGCCCUUCACGUCACAGGAGCCAGAAGCAGAAGUACGGUUCUGCGCAUGCGCGAGACGCUGUCUUGUCACCCGGCUUGGGCGGCGGCCAUGUCCCCUCGUGUCUCUGUGCCCGUCUUAAAAAGGGAAAGCAUCUCUGCUUUGGGGCCGGGGGACGCGAAUCUCCACGUCGCUGUCGCUGCCGCUGCGCGGGUCCCUGGAUUUCUGCGCGCUGGGUGAGCUCCGUCCCCGCCUGGCCUCUCCCGGUGCAUUGCGUAGUGUGAAUCUCAAUGUUCUUCUGUCUGUGAUCGUCAGCUUGGCACACUGUAUUCGGAUACAUAAAAGAGAAGUGAUUUAUUUUACAUACUGUGUAACCCGCUUCCUUGCCAAGUGCCUUUUAUGUUUAAUCAAACGAUACAUUUUAGUCACUUAUUUAUAGAGUCUCAAGUUUUACACAGAAAAAUCGCCCAGUUUCAACUUUGUCUUUUUAAAUUCAUGCACUUUACAUUUUUUCUGUGUUUAAUUUCUCUACUGCACCUUCCAGGACUUUCAGUUGGAUGGAGAAUAGUAUGUAAUUUGUGUCCUUGACUUAUUUCAGUUUCAGAGGAAACUGAUCUUAUCUGUCACCCAUAUUAAAUAGGAUGUUAAAAAGACUUCUCUUUCAGUCCUUUCAGCGAGCUCCCCCAACCGCCGUG